UAUCUGCCAAAAACUAAAAUAAUAUAUAAUAAAAAUUAAAGAAGCAUAUAAAGAAAAUUUCCGAUUACUGUUGAAAAUUUCCCAUUUUCAACCACAUACCGCCAGUACGCUUAUUUUUCGAUUCAAACUUGUGCAUCUUCACUUGCAGUUCCUUCUUCUCGCUCUCUGAUUCCUCGAUUGACAACUUGAGCUUACCAAUUCUUUACUUGUUGACGUCAUUCUCGUGAAGAAGCUAAGUUUUCUCUUGCUCUAAUGCGGUGAUUUUUUGCUUCAGUGCCACCGAGGUUUUCGCCCAUGCAUCAGAAGUUUUCGACGACGCGCUGGACCACACACCACAAGUACGCUCCAUCCACACACCACACACCACACACCACCAGUAGCUCCGUCCACUCAUCACCAGUAGCUCCGACCACACACCACCAGUACACUCCGACCAUACACCACCAGUACGCGACCACAAUCACCACCAAUCGACCACCAGUGUGUGCUCCGACCAAAAAUCAGCUUCUCCACUGCUCUGACAACCACUUCUAUUUCAUCUCUCAAUUUGCACUUCAAUUUCCGAGAAUAUUUGGGGUUUUCUUCUUUAAUUUGGUGAUUUUAAGGUGAUGCAAAAAAGGCGGAUCAUUUGACAUCCCAUGAUGGAGCUAAUGAGAAACUCUAUUUGUUCAAAACACACUUGCUUGAAGAAGGCACAAUUGAUGUUGUGGUUGAUGUAUGUGAAGGUGUAUUUCAUACAACGUCCCUUUUUACCAUGGAAUCAAACGUCCACAGGCUGAGAUGAUUGAUCCUGCAUUAAGGGGACACUUAAUGUACUUGGAUCAGUGGCUAAGACACCAUCUGUUAGAAGAGUGGUUUUGACAUAAUCUGUAGCAGCAGUUGCUUUCAAUGGCAAGCGAAGAACACAUUAAAUGGUGUUGGCUUAUUAUCGAAACUUGGCUUUUCUGUGGGAGGAUGGUAGAGGUACUAAAGUUGUUCAGAAGCGGUGAAGGCUUAUCAAUUUUUUAAAAUCCAAUAUAAGUGUCUAGUUUUGAAGAAAUGGUUUUGAAUUAUGUUUACGUUUUAACCAUCUUUGGUCUCGGUUAACUAUAAAAGAAUUUUUUCAAUAAAAAUAAUACAAUAUUGCAAAAUUUACAAUGUGUGCAUCUUUGCUCAUAGAGCAAUGAUAGAGCGUGAAAAUGGUUCUUUGAUUAGCACUACACUUUGAUAAUAUACAAAAAAGUUUUUUCAAUUAUCUUUCUCUUAUACAUAUGCCAAGUGGUAAAACUAAUGAAGGUUGACUAGAAAAUAUGUUAUGGUAUAUAUGCAUAACAACACAACUUUCUCCCUUUAUCCGAUUUUGGGUCCGAUAAUGUGAAUGUGCUCAUGUAUAUGGAUAUGGUAUAUAUACACAGCAAUGGUAAGAUAUCCUAUGUAAUUCCACUAGUGGGGUGUGGGGAGGAUAGUAAAAUGGAUGGAAGCAAAUUGUUUAUCUUUAGUUUUAGUAGACCAUGUUAAGCAGGAGGUGUGGCUGAGAUACUCAUCGCAUUCCAGUUCACGGUUAUUCUUACCUCUGUUUAUAUAGAAAAGGUACUGGACCAUGUUACUAGUCUAAAUAGGUCUAAGCAAACAUACUUACAUUUUCUCUUUUGAGAAACAUAACCAGAACUAUUUUGGUUGCGUGUUGUUAUACAGUGCUGAACAGUAAUCACAGGGGGGUCUUAAUCUUCGAACAUACUUGAUUUUGGUAGGCCCACUACAAUUGUAAGUUUGCAAGAUUGCUAUCUUCCCAUCUCUAUUGUGUGUAACUCAGAACCUUUUAAGAUAGAUGUUGUUCACUUCUCAUGCUUUGAUGAAACAGAGAACUUGUUGGCCAAAUACUGGAAGCAUUAGAAGAAAUUGGUUCUUUAGCUUAAAAAUGAUUUCAGUGACAUUAGCCUUUUGAGUAACCAAGGUUCUACUCUUCUCAUAUAGAAGCUUUUACGACAAAAGGUACUGAUGGUAGAGCUCCUCUGUAUCUCAAACUGCCGGGUUUGAAAUUUUAAUAAGUUCUAUUUUCACAUGAAUAUAUUCCAAUACUUUUACUAUUCGGCCAUUUAUUUAUCAAAGAAGUCACACGAAAUAUUUCAUUCACAUCUUACAAUUUAAUCAUAAAUGCUAAUUAUUAUCAUUUGAACUAGUGCUCAGUCAUUUCUAUUUUUUAUUUCACAUAUUUGAACUUUAAUUGGUGGGGGCGUAUUCCUGUUAUGACUCCGUAUUCAAUGCUCCGUGUUCCGUGUUCCAUGUUUAUUACGAAUAUGUGUGCUUUCCUCUGCUUUAUAUUCCUGCAUUCCUGCUUGACUCUGUUUUAUAUUCCUUAUGGGUGCCGUAUCUAUGUUAUGUCAUCUGCUUCUGUGCUGUACUAUGUGUUUGUGUGAUAUCUCGUGACUUGAGCCGGGGGUCUUUCGGAAACAGCCUUUCUACUUCAUCAGAGGUAGAGGUAUGGACUGCGUACAUCUUACCCCCCCCCAGACCCCACGAAGUGGGAAUACACUGGGUUUGUUGUUGUUGUUGUUGUUGAACUUUAAUCUGCCAUGUGUAUUUAUACGCUAAUCUUCUAGAUGACUGUGGUUGCAUCGUAGGUUAGCUGUUUGUUCUUGCAGAAACCUUUUACAUUUAUCAUAACAGAUCUCCUAACACUAUCGUAUUAGAGUAGGCCAAUUUUUAUAGAUAAGAAAAGAGUAGCACAUAUUUUUAGAAACCGCGAUACCUGGAAAAUAAUGAGGUGUUGUCUUUUAGCGAGGCUUGUGGUGAUAUCAUUGUCGUAGCUCUUUUGGGGCAUAUGGAGUUAAUUAUUGACUCAUGUUUUAUUGCUUUUUCCAGCUCUGGUAUAUACUUUCGAAUACAUUGGCUAAGGAUGCUGAAUGGAAGUUUGUGAAAGAUAAAACUUUUGAUAAUGGUUACAAUAAACCCAGCAACGGUUAUAGGAAGUUUGUUUCAACCAACAACUAAUACAAGUUGUGCUGCCAUCUUACAAUUGCUAAAUGGUAUUCUCUGUUAACACUUGUAUCAGAAGCCAUAUGCCAUUUAAUAUAUCCAUUUUGUUGGCAGGUGACUAUCUCCAAGGAUGAUACUGUCAUUCUUGAUGGUGCUGAUGGUCAAAAGAAGUUCAUAGAGGAACGUUGUGAUCAGAUUAAAUCAGCCAUUGAAUUGAGCACAUCUGACUAUGACAAGGAAUGCAAGAAAGUCUAGCUAAGAUUUCAGGGGGUCUUACUGAAAUGCAUGUUUAAGGGAUCGUUCAGAACUUUUUGUAAACUUAUGACAACUCUUGAAUUGUGAAAUUAUAUUUUAUAUUUGCUUUUCGUAUAGGUUGGAUAUUUUACAUUACGAUUAGUCGAUUAAUGUAUUCCUAUGUGAUUUAUAUUAUAUUUCAGUGUAAUAUUUAUUAUUAUAUAAUUAAUUUCUUAUUUCUUUAUUGUGAUGGUA